rnacentral:tRNA from 1 species
UAUAUGCUAUGCAUAAAAUAAAGAAUAAUUUUGAUAGAAUUAAUCAUAUAUAAUUACACCUUCAUAA